CGGAGGGUGCAAGCGUUAUCCGGAUUCACUGGGUUUAAAGGGUGCGUAGGUGGGUUGGUAAGUCAGUGGUGAAAUCUCCGUGCUUAACAUGGAAACUGCCAUUGAUACUACUGGUCUUGAAUUUUCUGGAGGUAAGCGGAAUAUGUCAUGUAGCGGUGAAAUGCUUAGAUAUGACAUAGAACACCAAUUGCGAAGGCAGCUUACUACAGGGACAUUGACACUGAGGCACGAAAGCGUGGGGAUCAAACAGGAUUAGAUACCCUGGUAGUCCACGCCCUAAACGAUGGAUACUCGACAUUUGUGAUACACAAUAAGUGUCUGAGCGAAAGCAUUAAGUAUCCCACCUGGGAAGUACGACCGCAAGGUUG
rnacentral:rRNA from 1 species